AUGGAGAGAGGCUGGGGAAUGUGAGAAGGCUGUGUGAGUCAGUUGCCUGGCUACUGUAAUAAAAGCACAUUAGCAUGAUAGAGUGUGCAGGGAGAGGGAGAGAGAGGAGUGUAAUGUAUGUGUGAGUGUGUGUCUGUGUGUGUCUGUCUGUGUGUGAGUGUGUGGAUGAGGAGGGCUUUCUCUCUCCCUCUCAGUAUUCAGUUAAUCCUUCUGUCAGUUAAUGUUAAGGCAGCAUUUUAAGUGCUGGAUGGAGAAAGAAAGAAGCCCCAAAUAGCAGCAGACACGGCAGCUGAGGAAGAGAGGAGAGAGCAGCACAGAGCAGGACUGGAGCAAAGGAAUUAACAACAAUAACACAUAUAUAUAUAUUUAUUAACAUCUAAGCCCCCUCAACUCUCUACAAUUAUUGGAACCUCCCCCCCCCCUCCGCCACCACCUCAGGAAGACAGGCCUGGGGGGGCACAGAGGAGAAGACUUCAGAAAGAGAGAGAAAAAAACAGCAAGUGGGACCCCCCAAUUAUUUUAUUUUUUAUUUUUAUUUUUUUACUGGGAAGUAGGGCUGAUCUUCUUAUCUUCGCCAAUGCAAAAGGAAAUAUGCUGCGCAUUUUUGCCUAUUUCUGCACCAGCUUUCUAGGGGCAGUGCUUGGGGUGAAUUUCCCCAACCAUAUCCAGAUAGGGGGGCUUUUCCCAAACCAGCAAUCCCAGGAACAUGCCGCCUUCCGCUUUGCUUUAUCCCAGUUGUCAGAACCCCCUAAGCUGCUGCCCCAGAUUGAUAUUGUGAACAUCAGUGAUAGCUUUGAAAUGACCUACACUUUUUGUUCACAGUUCUCCAAAGGGGUUUAUGCCAUAUUUGGAUUUUAUGACCGGAAGACAGUGAAUAUGUUAACCUCCUUCUGUGGUGCUCUACACGUCUGCUUCAUCACCCCCAGCUUCCCAGUAGCCACUUCCAAUCAGUUUGUCCUGCAGCUGCGACCGGAGCUCCAAGAUGCCCUCAUUAGUGUUAUUGAAUAUUAUAAGUGGAAAAAGUUUGUUUAUAUUUAUGAUGCAGACCGAGGCUUGUCUGUCCUGCAGAAGGUUCUAGACACAGCAGCUGAGAAGAACUGGCAGGUAACCGCUGUAAAUAUUCUCACCACCACCGAGGAGGGUUACCGUCUACUCUUUCAGGACUUAGACAAGAGCAAGGACCGGCAGAUUGUGAUCGACUGCGAGUCCGAGAGGCUGAAUGCAAUACUCACCCAGGUAGUUGUAAAGUUGGAGAAAAACAUCAUUGGAUAUCAUUAUAUUCUUGCAAACCUGGGUUUCAUGGAUAUUGACAUGCAGAAGUUCAAAGAAGCAGGAGCCAACGUGACAGGAUUCCAGUUGGUCAAUUACACAGACACAAUGGUAUCCAGAAUCAUGCAGCAGUGGAAGAAUUAUGAUGGACGGGAACAACCUCGUGUGGACUGGAAGAAACCAAAGUACACCUCUGCCUUGACGUACGAUGGAGUGAGAGUAAUGGCUGAGGCAUUCCAGAGUUUAAGGAAACAGCGGAUCGAUAUUUCCCGUCGUGGGAAUGCUGGCGACUGUCUAGCAAAUCCUGCAGUGCCAUGGGGGCAAGGAAUAGACAUCCAAAGGGCAUUACAACAGGUUCGGCUGGAAGGGCUUUCAGGUAAUGUCCAGUUUAAUGAGAAAGGUCGUCGGACUAAUUAUACACUGCAUGUGCUUGAGCUGAAACAUGAAGGAAUCCGUCACAUUGCUCAUUGGAAUGAGGAUGAUAAACUUAUCCCACUGGCAACUGAUGCUCAAGCAGGCAAUGACACCAUUGGGGUCCAAAACCGGACGUACAUUGUCACUACCAUCUUGGAGGCUCCCUAUGUUAUGCUGAAGAAAAACGCUGACCAGUUAGAAGGCAACGACCGCUUUGAAGGCUACUGCGUAGAGCUGGCCGCGGAGAUCGCCAAGCACGUUGGCUUCAAAUACAAGCUGGAAAUAGUGAAGGACGGAAAGUAUGGAGCGCGGGACUCCGAUAUGAAGGCUUGGAAUGGCAUGGUGGGGGAGCUGGUUUAUGGGAGAGCUGAUUUGGCUGUUGCUCCCUUGACAAUAACACUAGUCCGUGAAGAGGUUAUCGACUUUUCUAAACCGUUCAUGAGCUUGGGCAUUUCGAUCAUGAUCAAGAAGCCCCAGAAAUCUAAACCUGGAGUAUUUUCCUUCCUGGAUCCUCUCGCUUAUGAGAUCUGGAUGUGUAUAGUCUUCGCCUACAUCGGAGUCAGCGUGGUUCUCUUCCUUGUGAGUCGAUUCAGCCCAUAUGAGUGGCACAAUGAGGAGUUCGAGGAGGGAAAAGAGCAGCCAACCACUGAUCAGUCUAAUGAAUUUGGCAUAUUUAACAGCCUGUGGUUUUCUUUAGGAGCAUUCAUGCAGCAAGGAUGUGAUAUAUCCCCAAGGUCCCUCUCAGGACGAAUCGUUGGUGGUGUCUGGUGGUUCUUUACAUUGAUCAUUAUUUCAUCCUACACGGCAAACCUAGCAGCCUUCUUGACAGUUGAAAGGAUGGUCUCGCCUAUAGAGAGUGCGGACGAUUUGGCCAAGCAAACUGAGAUAGCUUAUGGGACUCUUGACUCCGGAUCUACUAAAGAGUUUUUUAAGAGAUCAAAAAUUGCUGUGUUUGAAAAGAUGUGGACUUACAUGCGUUCGGCAGAGCCCUCGGUUUUCGUAAAAACAACUGAGGAAGGAAUGAAUCGAGUGAGAAAAUCAAAGGGCAAAUACGCUUACCUUUUAGAGUCCACCAUGAAUGAGUACAUUGAACAGAGAAAACCAUGCGACACUAUGAAGGUGGGAGGUAACUUGGACUCCAAGGGAUAUGGCAUUGCAACCCCCAAGGGGUCUCCACUGAGAAAUCCAGUAAACCUGGCAGUGUUAAAACUGAACGAGCAGGGGCUUUUGGACAAAUUGAAAAACAAAUGGUGGUACGACAAGGGAGAAUGCGGCAGCGGGGGAGGUGAUUCCAAGAGGUGCUGUAAACCUAGCGGUAUUGAAACUCAGUGAGCAAGGCGUCUUAGACAAGCUGAAAAGCAAAUGGUGGUACGAUAAAGGGGAAUGUGGAAGCAAAGACUCCGGAAGUAAGGAUAAGACAAGUGCACUGAGUCUCAGUAAUGUCGCCGGAGUGUUCUACAUUCUCAUUGGAGGUCUGGGAUUGGCCAUGCUUGUUGCCCUUAUCGAGUUUUGUUACAAAUCAAGGAGUGAAUCCAAAAAGAUGAAGGGUUUCUGUUUAAUUCCACAGACAACAGUGACAGAAACAGUCCGGAUGGCAACUCUACCCAGACCUUCCACGGCAGGAGGAAGCGGUGAAAAUGGAAGAGUGGUCAGCCAUGAUUUCCCCAAAACCAUGCAGACAAUUCCGUGUAUGAGCCACGGUGCAGGAAUGGCUCUGGGAGCAACUGGGUUAUAGUAGAACUGGGUUAUAGUAGACUUCACGCUGCCUAGUGAAGUAUUGACCCUUACCCUUCCAGUGCCAAACAAAACCCCACAAAGGACAAAUUAUAUGAACUUUUCGCCGCCACUCAAAGAUCUAUUUUUGUUUUUCUUUUGUCCUUUUGCCUCCAGUGGCAAAAAAAUAAAUACAUCCGUAACUGCAAUAAAGAGCUGACUAUUGGAAGAAUGAGGAGCCUACAGCGUGGGCCGAACAAUUGAAUGUUAUCAAUAGACUGUGAAUCCAUCGUCCUUCGGCUCAAACAUUUUACUAUAUUAAGUUGUGGAUAUUUUUUCAACGUGUUUACCAUUUUCCCUUUCGUUUCUGUAUUUUUUGGGGGGAUUAUUUCCCCCCCUUUCAUUUUCCAGUUUCAAAAACUGGAAGAAAUCAGGACAAGGUAUCAUGGCACUGCCACCUUAGGAGGCGUCAAAAAUAAAAAUAUAGGAUGUCUGCCAUCUGCAUAGUAGGAAUAAGGAAACGGUUUAUUAAGGAAAAUAAUGGUUUCUUUACAAAACAAAAUAAAAUCAUGAUUUGGAAAGGUUAAAUAAGGCUACCAGGGGUGAUGUUUUAGCACAGAAGCAAAAAAUGCAUAUGAAUAUUAACAAAAUGCAUUCCAAGAAUGGUUAAAGAGAGCCAAAAUACUGGAAUUAUGGGAUAAAAUAAGGUCUAACAUCAUCAGGGCUCUAAUACGAGAUCUGCAGAGUAUGAUGUGACUGCAGGAGAGGAAAAGACUCACAGAGGAACAUGAGAAGAACAUGGAAACCAUGCCGGUAAUCCAUUUGUUUAGACUUGUAUUGGACUUGCAAUCACUCCCAGGUGGGAUCUGAGUAUAACGAGUGCCAAAGCGACUCACCGCAGAGAAAAUACGUGUUUUUGGUUCUUGGCAAAGCAAUAUUUUAUUUAAGUCUCCCAACCCCCUUCUUUAUUCAUUCAGCUUUUAGAACUUCCUGGAUUCGUUAAAUCCAAUAACCUUCAUCACGGGCACUGGUUGAUGUGUGAAUGUGACAUUGGGAGAGUUUGCUGGCCAAUAUUGGUCUUAGACAAUGCAAGGAGAGCAAAUGAUUUACCUGAAGAGGAGAGAAUGCCAUGGACUAUUGGAGACACCUAAUUGGACUCUGCUUCGGAUGACUCUAACACAGCAUUAUCAAGGUCAAUGUAUGAUGGAUCAGUUAAUAUCAUACCCUCACUUUUUUCCUAAACAAUUUUUUUUUUGUUCUUCAAUCAAAACAUUGGUGUCCAUGGAGAAAUGAACUUAUGAGAAGUUAGUGUUUUUGCAGUCUUUUACUUUUUUGAUGAUUCUGUUCAUUCCUGUGUGAGACGUAUAAAGAAGACAGAUGCUUUUUCCUUUUCGAACCUCUGCUAAAAGUUUAUGUUCUCCAGCUCGGAAACGGGAACGUUAUCCUUGGUCCUCGUUCCUCGGGGAAUUUCUGGGGAGCUUUCCAGCCAUUUGACUCAAGGUGCCAUAAGCAGUUUUGCUGCCUUGGGGCUCGAACUCUGAAAUGUAAAACGUGCAUUAUAUGAAGAUUUUCUGUUUUGCACAGAGAGCAUUGUUUGCUCAGUGACUUUGAGACUUGAAUAUAAGCGCCUACGCCGGGUGGGAGAUGGGACUACAAAUCAGCAUUGGAGAUGUUGAGUGUUCACUCGUAAUUUGUAUUUUUACUACUUUCUUAAAAACAGCAGCAGUGCGGAGACAUGUUUGGUUUUUAAAUCUGAGCGUGUCGUCCACAUGUAACCCCUCCCCCUUCCAGCCGUUUCAUUCUGUUUUUGCCUCUUUGAUACACGGACAUUUUCUCCAAAAGGCUGUAUUUGUUUUAACUCUGAAGUCAAAAGUGCAAAGCGAGAUUCUGUUUGGUCAAAGAGAAGCAUCUUUUUGUUUGUUUUCUAGUUGUGUUGGGGGGAGGCGAUUACUCUCUGCAGCAUCUCUUUGCUUCUUCUGUAUCUCCUAUUUUUGGUUUAUUUUAUUUUUUUUUCUUUCAAUUAAUAUAAAAUGGACGUGUUCUCUUUUG